AGCGAACGCUGGCGGCAGGCCUAACACAUGCAAGUCGAACGAACCUUUCGGGGUUAGUGGCGGACGGGUGAGUAACACGUGGGAACGUGCCUUUAGGUUCGGAAUAACUCAGGGAAACUUGUGCUAAUACCGAAUGUGCCCUUCGGGGGAAAGAUUUAUCGCCUUUAGAGCGGCCCGCGUCUGAUUAGCUAGUUGGUUGAGGUAAUGGCCCACCAAGGCGAAGAUCAGUAGCUGGUCUGAGAGGAUGAUCAGCCACAUUGGGACUGAGAAACGGCCCAAAAUCCUCCGGUAGGCAGCAGUGGGGAAUCUUGCGCAAUGGGCGAAAGCCUGACGCAGCCAUGCCGCGUGAAUGAUUAAGGUCUUAGGAUUGUAAAAUUCUUUCACCGGGGACGAUAAUGACGGUACCCGGAGAAGAAGCCCCGGCUAACUUCGUG
rnacentral:rRNA from 1 species